AACGAACGCUGGCGGCAGGCCUAACACAUGCAAGUCGAGCGAGGACUUCGGUCCUAGCGGCGGACGGGUGAGUAACGCGUGGGAACGUGCCCUUUGCUUCGGAAUAGCCCUGGGAAACUGGGAGUAAUACCGGAUGAGCCCUUUGGGGGAAAGAUUUAUUGGCGAAGGAUCGGCCCGCGUUGGAUUAGGUAGUUGGUGGGGUAAUGGCCUACCAAGCCGACGAUCCAUAGCUGGUUUGAGAGGAUGAUCAGCCACACUGGGACUGAGACACGGCCCAGACUCCUACGGGAGGCAGCAGUGGGGAAUCUUAGACAAUGGGGGAAACCCUGAUCUAGCCAUGCCGCGUGAGCGAUGAAGGCCUUAGGGUUGUAAAGCUCUUUCAGCUGGGAAGAUAAUGACGGUACCAGCAGAAGAAGCCCCGGCUAACUCCGUG
rnacentral:rRNA from 1 species